rnacentral:tRNA from 1 species
UGCAUCGGCCGGGAAUCAAAUGCGUGGCAGACGAGCAUUCUACCACUGAACCACCGAUGC